GCCGGGAAGAGGAAGAAUGAGAGGGUCCAAGAGUAAUAUGAAUGGGAACAUCGAGGAAAGUGUGAGCUUUCUAGAUUUCCUCUCCUUACAAUGGAGAGAUCUUGCUCUGUGUUUUUCCGAUGCCUCCCAUUCCUAUUGUUCUUGGGUGCUCCUUCCCCUUCCUUUUGGCU
rfam:Triticum aestivum genome assembly, contig: Triticum_aestivum_CS42_TGACv1_scaffold_456744_5DS